CUCGAUCCGGCUCCCCUCGCCGUCCUGGACACGGCGGAGUGCAGAGCCGCCCGUAAGCUCUAGGGCCCGUGCAGGCCACACCAUGAACACCUCCCCAGGCACGGUGGGCAGUGACCCGGUCAUCCUGGCCACUGCAGGCUACGACCACACCGUGCGCUUCUGGCAGGCCCACAGCGGCAUCUGCACCCGGACUGUGCAGCACCAGGACUCCCAAGUGAAUGCCUUGGAGAUCACACCAGACCGCAGCAUGAUUGCUGCUGCAGGUUACCAGCAUAUCCGCAUGUAUGAUCUCAACUCCAAUAACCCUAACCCCAUCAUCAGUUACGACGGCGUCAACAAGAACAUCGCGUCUGUGGGCUUCCACGAAGACGGCCGCUGGAUGUACACGGGCGGCGAGGACUGCACAGCCAGGAUCUGGGACCUCAGGUGCAGUGGGGAGGGGCCUGCUGCCUGGGGCUGGGGUGAGCUGCUCUGGGAGACCGUUUUACGUUGGGUUCUCUUCAAGCAGAGGCUGAGACAGGGAGCUUCCUGUGGGCAACUUACU
rnacentral:sRNA from 1 species